GCAGUCGUGGCUGAGUGGUCAAGGCAAUGGACUAGAAAUCCAUUGGGGUCUCCCCGCACAGGUUCGAAUCCUGUCGACUGCG
rnacentral:tRNA from 1 species